UACGUAGGGUGCGAGCGUGUCCGGAAUUAUUAGGCGUAAAGGGCUCGUAGGCGGUCUGUCACGUCGGGAGUGAAAACACGGGGCUUAACCCCGUGCCUGCUUCCGAUACGGGCAGACUAGAGGUAUGCAGGGGAGAACGAAUUCCUGGUGUAGCGGUGAAAUGCGCAGAUAUCAGGAGGAACACCGGUGGCGAAGGCGGUUCUCUGGGCAUUACCUGACGCUGAGGAGCGAAAGUGUGGGGAGCGAACAGG
rnacentral:rRNA from 1 species